AACGAACGCUGGCGGCAGGCUUAACACAUGCAAGUCGAGCGCCCAGCAAGGGGAGCGGCAGACGGGUGAGUAACGCGUGGGAACGUACCUUUUGCUACGGAAUAACUCAGGGAAACUUGUGCUAAUACCGUAUGUGCCCUUCGGGGGAAAGAUUUAUCGGCAAAGGAUCGGCCCGCGUUGGAUUAGCUAGUUGGUGAGGUAAAGGCUCACCAAGGCGACGAUCCAUAGCUGGUCUGAGAGGAUGAUCAGCCACACUGGGACUGAGACACGGCCCAGACUCCUACGGGAGGCAGCAGUGGGGAAUAUUGGACAAUGGGCGCAAGCCUGAUCCAGCCAUGCCGCGUGAGUGAUGAAGGCCCUAGGGUUGUAAAGCUCUUUCACCGGUGAAGAUAAUGACGGUAACCGGAGAAGAAGCCCCGGCUAACUUCGUGC
rnacentral:rRNA from 1 species